rnacentral:rRNA from 1 species
UACAGAGAGUGCAAACGUUGUUCGGAAUUACUGGGCUUAAAGAGCACGUAGGCUGCGUCGUAAGUGUCAGGUGAAAUCCCACGGCUCACCCGUGGAACUGCCUGGCAGACUGCGAUGCUAGAGUGUGGUAGGGGAGAGCGGAACUCUUGGUGGAGCGGUGAAAUGCGUAGAUAUCAAGAGGAACACCGGUGGCGAAGGCGGCUCUCUGGUCCAUAACUGACGCUGAGGUGCGAAAGCUAGGGGAGCAAACGGG